rnacentral:rRNA from 1 species
UACGAAGGGGGCUAGCGUUGCUCGGAAUCACUGGGCGUAAAGGGUGCGUAGGCGGGUUUUUAAGUCAGGGGUGAAAUCCUGGAGCUCAACUCCAGAACUGCCUUUGAUACUGAAGAUCUUGAGUCCGGGAGAGGUGAGUGGAACUGCGAGUGUAGAGGUGAAAUUCGUAGAUAUUCGCAAGAACACCAGUGGCGAAGGCGGCUCACUGGACCGGUAUUGACGCUGAGGUGCGAAAGCGUGGGGAGCAAACAGG